rnacentral:pre_miRNA from 1 species
GGGGUACUUGCAACUCGGAAUGCGUGAAAAUUCGAUUGUGAGUUGAAUUUUGGGGGUAAAGAAUCGCGUCGAGCCAAUUUCAUCCAUUUCGACUGUCCGAGAACAGUUUACUCGACGCGAUUCUUUACCCCCAAAAUUCAACUCACAAUCGAAUUUUCACGCAUUUCGAGUUGCAAGAACCCC